GAUGAACGCUGGCGGCGUGCCUAAUACAUGCAAGUCGAGCGAAUGGAUUAAGAGCUUGCUCUUAUGAAGUUAGCGGCGGACGGGUGAGUAACACGUGGGUAACCUGCCCAUAAGACUGGGAUAACUCCGGGAAACCGGGGCUAAUACCGGAUAACAUUUUGAACCGCAUGGUUCGAAAUUGAAAGGCGGCUCCGGCUGUCACUUAUGGAUGGACCCGCGUCGCAUUAGCUAGUUGGUGAGGUAACGGCUCACCAAGGCAACGAUGCGUAGCCGACCUGAGAGGGUGACCGGCCACACUGGGACUGAGACACGGCCCAGACUCCUACGGGAGGCAGCAGUAGGGAAUCUUCCGCAAUGGACGAAAGUCUGACGGAGCAACGCCGCGUGAGUGAUGAAGGCUUUCGGGUCGUAAAACUCUGUUGUUAGGGAAGAACAAGUGCUAGUUGAAUAAGCUGGCACCUUGACGGUACCUAACCAGAAAGCCACGGCUAACUACGUGCCAGCCGCCGCCGUAA
rnacentral:rRNA from 1 species